UAUAAUUUUUCGUAGCAUUUGCAUACAUAAGUGCAUGAUGUUAGAAAAAACUAAUAGUUUGCGUUACUUUACGCAAACUAUCCCUGGAAUGUCGAACCCAUUUAUAUCAUUCCUGUAGGGUAUUUUUGUUUUUGUUUCUUAAUCCCUAAUUUCCUUAAUGGCUGACCUCGACCCAUUUCCUUUUCACAUGUGUCGACGGCGUGUGACAAGUGAGUGAAAAGUGAAUCGGUUUGCUUUGUGGUCGUUUUACAAUUUUAACGAAAUUAGGCAAACUGUGACUUUAAAUAAUUAGAAGUGCUAAACAUUGUGCAAAUUUUAGUUAUAUUUUCCAUAUAAACUCGUGAACGCAAUAAAAAAUUUAAAUGUUUGGCAAACCAAAGCGUCCUGUUGCCGCAUAUAUGUUGUGGCUCAACAAUGCGCGCGAUCAGGUUAAGCGCGAAAAUCUAGGCAUUAAAGUAACCGAAGUGGCCAAAAAAAGGUGGAGAGUUAUGGCGUUCAAUGAAGGACAAGUCGGAAUGGAAAGCAAAGGCAGCUAAAGCCAAGGAAGAUUUUGCUGAAGCUGUGAGAGAAUUUGAUAAGAUGGAAUUUAUAUUCAUAUAAUCAGCUGGAUUGAAAACACGUUUGCACAAAGUUUCAAGUCACUCACAUCAAAGGUUCCGUUGUUGGGCAAUCAACAUCAAAAGCGGCUGUGCGUUGCAAGCAGGAUUUGCCGAAGCGAUCAUCAACAUAUGUGCUGAAGCACAGAAAAGCUGAUGUGGCUACGACCAUCCCAUGUUGAAGCUAUUAGGGAUAUAGCCAACUAGAAGGAUAUCUCUAAUCACCUCGUUGCCGCUGCUAAGAGCUUUAAUUGACCUAGAGAAGCCUGUUCGAAUUUGUGGGAGGAAUGUUGGGCAAAGCAAAGCUGAUA